rnacentral:rRNA from 1 species
UACGGAGGGUGCAAGCGUUAUCCGGAUUCACUGGGUUUAAAGGGUGCGUAGGUGGGCAGGUAAGUCAGUGGUGAAAUCUCCGGGCUUAACCCGGAAACUGCCGUUGAUAUUAUUUGUCUUGAAUAUUGUGGAGGUAAGCGGAAUAUGUCAUGUAGCGGUGAAAUGCUUAGAUAUGACAUAGAACACCAAUUGCGAAGGCAGCUUACUACACAAUGAUUGACACUGAGGCACGAAAGCGUGGGGAUCAAACAGG